rfam:Toxocara canis scaffold305, whole genome shotgun sequence.
GGGGCAGUAGUUUAAUGAAUUGGGCCCUUGCUCAUCAUGCAAGAGACCCAGGUUCGACUCCCGGUUGCUCCG